rnacentral:rRNA from 1 species
GAUCAUGGCUCAGGAUGAACGCUAGCUACAGGCUUAACACAUGCAAGUCGAGGGGCAGCAUGGUCUUAGCUUGCUAAGGCCGAUGGCGACCGGCGCACGGGUGAGUAACACGUAUCCAACCUGCCGUCUACUCGUUGGACAGCCUUCUAGAAAAGGAAGAUUAAUACAAGAUGGCAUCAUGAGUCCGCAUGUUCACAUGAUUAAAGGUAUUCCGGUAGACGAUGGGGA